UACCACCCGAUGCUCGUAACAAUAAAUUUUUUUAUUAUUUACCAACUACAACAUACACGUGAAUGGAAUGUUGGGGGCGGGACUUAUUUGCUUCUCAAUGAGCAUAUUGUUCAAUGAAAUUGUAUCAUUUAGCCAAUCAGAUACAAGGUUAUAUUGAUCGACAUUGCUGGCGUUCUUAUAUUUGCACACGGUGCACAAAGAAGAAAACAUCAUAAGGCUAGUUGAUUAUUCGGAUGACAAUGUGCAAAAUUCUCUUUUCAAAGUGAUUGUAGACUGGUGGAAACAGCAAAUAUAAUACGCUCUCAAUUCGGAUCAUUGACACACCUUGUAUUGUAAUAACCAAAUUUGGAAAAUUAACCUGUGGAAUUAAGUGUAUAUCAAGCAGGAAUUUUGAAAGACCUUUCUUUCUUUGGGAGGAAGCGUUGAUGACAUGACUAUCAGUAUUUGGAAAGCUCUUCUGUGCAUCCUAGUAUUGCUGAUGUGUAGUUCUUUCAUAAGGUCGGAAAACAUAACCAAAUCCCGCUGUGGUUCUAUACUGAACUUUGGAUCAUCAGGUUGUUAUAAUCAAAAGAAUAACAAUUUUAACACAUCACGUGGAAAAGACGUCGAGUCGAUCCAAAUUUCCCGAAAGACAAACAAUACAAUGAAACAGGAGAAUGGUACAGAAACCUCCAUUGUAAUGCAUCGAAAUUUAAGCCUCAAUUCCAUCGAAAUUUCUAUAAUUGUGUCAGUAACUGUUAUAGUUCUGCUGGCUGCAGUAAUACUUGUAGUUGUGUUGAUAGUUCGCAACCACAAAAAGAAAAGAGGAACAUACCAUAUUACCGGCACAAUCGUUACAUAAUUAUGAUGCAUGUGCAUUUAAAGAUAUUUGUAAAGCGUUUUCUUCGUCAAAAUAUAUCAGACUCAUUCAUUAUGAUCCAUUGCCAUCGCAAGAUUUGAAGAUAAUUGGAUUUAAUGUAGUCCAAUCCACACUUUGCAAAAUUUGCUUACUUUUGUGGGGUCAACCCUAAAGUUAAAAAAGGAAACCCCAAACUUUUUCCUUCUUUAUGCAACCAAAUAUUUUGGCGUUCUUUGAUACAUAACGAAAACGUUCUUUGAUACAUAUCUAUAGGUUUUUCUCCCAAAGAUUGCGAUAACGGGAGAUAACCUUUGCAAGAUGUAGAUUGGUUUAUUGAUUAUCGAAAGAUAUUUACUAUUUUAUAAACUAAUGAAUCAAGGACAAAUAAUUAAAUUUUGGACGACAAUAACGCAAUAACAAUAUAAAAGAAAACUUUAUGGUGUUAUGUUUUGGAACAUGUUAUUACAUUUAAGUUAAAAGAUUGUAUUUUAAAUGCAUUUUCAAUGAAAAAGUCAAUCCUCGAACAUGGAGUAUGACUAGAACAUCGAAAAUGUAAAGGAAAAUACACAUUAAUCAACUAUUGUAUAUGACAUGAACUAAUAUAUAAAAAUAUUUUUUGGACAUUCGUCAUUGCACUGCAGAGUUUAACAAAAUUUGGACAUGCAAAAAUGCCUUUUUGAUAAGAUACCAGCAAAUUCGUUGCAUGGUUCACACUAACGUAAAAUUAGAGAAUAUUUUCGAUGAAAAUUGCAGCUUAAUCUUUUUCCGAAGUAAACUUUUUUUAAACAAUGCAUUGUACACUUUCUCAUCAUGAUCUUAUUAUAGUUGUUUGUAACAGAGCCUUAAAAAGGGACUAAGUAUACAUUUAGAAAAAGUAAGAUGUCUUUUGUAUCAUCAACUCUAUUAUUUAGUUAAUGUUUUAUUUCAUUUAACUGCUCUUAAAAAUUGAUGCAUUUUAAAGAAGCAUUCAAUAAAGUAUUGUUGGGGGAAAUUUAACAUAGAGCAAACAAAUUCCAAAAAUGUUUUAAAACCCAUUUGUUUUUUACUUAAUAUUUCUUUGAAAAUUUUGAUGCGCUUUUAGGCUAGCUAAGAUCGUUUUAUUUCUAAUCCUAUAUUAAACGGCUUACCCACACAUAACUCGAGCUAGAUAAAUUCAGCUGCAAUUUUGUUAUGUGUGUUUUGUUUUUAACUGGAAAUGUUGUAAACUUAAUUGUUCAAAACUCUCAGUUGUAUGUGUUCAGAAAAAACCGGUUUCAAAUUAUUUCAAAUUAUUGUUUCACAAUGUAGGUAUUAUCUCAAAAUGAUAUAAGUUUUAAAUCAUUUGAAACAAUACAAAAAGAUACUGGUAUAUGUUGAACGAUUGCAAUAUUUUUUAAACAUCCAAGCAUUAAUUUUCUUUCUUUGACCAUACUCGUUUACGUCCUUAUAAGUAUUUAUCUUAGUUGAUGCAACACCAAACUAUUCAGGGAGAAAUGCAUUCCUCCUAUUAUCAUUAAGUAACUUUUGUUCGUGUACCUUUUUUAUUCAAACGAAUUAGCAAAUGUUUUAAUUAAUAAAUUCAUUGACAAAAAUGAAUGACAAUACAAAGCAAAAUAUGUACACAGCCCAUAUCAAUCUGAGAGCUGCGAAGGCCAGCCUGCUGAUAUCAAUUGAUUGAGAGUUAAUAUAUGGGUGUCAUACUGAUUUUGCCAUGUACAUGUAUUAUUCUCCACUAUCACUUUCCUUUCAUACAUUGUUUAUAAAUAACUACAUAUAUACUUCAUUCAUGCAUACCUGCUAUGCUUUUGUAAUCUAAACAAAUGUCUGUGUUAACCUAUGUUUUGUUGUGUAUCUCUUUGAAUUUUAAAUACUUUUUGUUUUAUUGAUGUAAGCUAGUUUAAUAGUUCUAUUACACGUUUGCUGAUUAUAUUUAUUACGUGCAGUCCAUAUCUGUAAAACAUAUAUAUGUUUGCAUGUGAUAUGUAUAAUUAUUUAAUUAGUAUUUGUUAAUGUAAACUUGAUUUGUAUAAUUGUAAGAUUUUUAGUUUGUUUUGAUCUAAUGAUAUACUAGCAUUUUUGUAUUUGCAAUCAAUAAAGAUAUUCGUUUCAUCUUUAAUUAAUUGAACUCAAGUCCCCUACUCAGUAUUUUUUGCUUUUUUAAGAACAGUCUCACGUUUGUGUUGUCCAUGCAUAUAUUUAGCUUUUAUGUAUAGGAUUGUUGGAACAAAUAAUAAAUUCUACUUUGGUAAUUGUUGUCUUUUUGUACUUUUGAUGUUGACGUUAAAGCUGACAUAAAUUCAUUAAAGUAUUUGGUUGUCAUAAUAUUUUUGUUCGCUCCUCAACUUUUCAAAAUUCAAUCUUUAUUUCCCCCUUGCAGAAAUGUCUUGCUAUAAGUAACAAUACAUAAAGAAAUUCAGUCAAUCGUACAGUAUAUGUUGAACGAUUGCAAUAUUUUUUAAACAUCCAAGCAUUAAUUUUCUUUCUUUGACCAUACUCGUUUACGUCCUUAUAAGUAUUUAUCUUAGUUGAUGCAACACCAAACUAUUCAGGGAGAAAUGCAUUCCUCCUAUUAUCAUUAAGUAACUUUUGUUCGUGUACCUUUUUUAUUCAAACGAAUUAGCAAAUGUUUUAAUUAAUAAAUUCAUUGACAAAAAUGAAUGACAAUACAAAGCAAAAUAUGUACACAGCCCAUAUCAAUCUGAGAGCUGCGAAGGCCAGCCUGCUGAUAUCAAUUGAUUGAGAGUUAAUAUAUGGGUGUCAUACUGAUUUUGCCAUGUACAUGUAUUAUUCUCCACUAUCACUUUCCUUUCAUACAUUGUUUAUAAAUAACUACAUAUAUACUUCAUUCAUGCAUACCUGCUAUGCUUUUGUAAUCUAAACAAAUGUCUGUGUUAACCUAUGUUUUGUUGUGUAUCUCUUUGAAUUUUAAAUACUUUUUGUUUUAUUGAUGUAAGCUAGUUUAAUAGUUCUAUUACACGUUUGCUGAUUAUAUUUAUUACGUGCAGUCCAUAUCUGUAAAACAUAUAUAUGUUUGCAUGUGAUAUGUAUAAUUAUUUAAUUAGUAUUUGUUAAUGUAAACUUGAUUUGUAUAAUUGUAAGAUUUUUAGUUUGUUUUGAUCUAAUGAUAUACUAGCAUUUUUGUAUUUGCAAUCAAUAAAGAUAUUCGUUUCAUCUUUAAUUAAUUGAACUCAAGUCCCCUACUCAGUAUUUUUUGCUUUUUUAAGAACAGUCUCACGUUUGUGUUGUCCAUGCAUAUAUUUAGCUUUUAUGUAUAGGAUUGUUGGAACAAAUAAUAAAUUCUACUUUGGUAAUUGUUGUCUUUUUGUACUUUUGAUGUUGACGUUAAAGCUGACA